UUUCUUGAGCACAAGGUCACCUUCUCGGAACACACGAGGCUUGACCUUCUUAUCGAAUGCUUUCUUCAUUCUCUGCUGAUAUAACUGACCAUGACACAUGGCAGUUAAUCUCUUCUUUUCGAUCAGAUUCACUUGGUCGUAACGACUCUGAAUCCAUUCAACAUCAGUCAACUUGGGAUUUGAGGGUGCUAUUUUUCUUUUGUUUCUUUCUUUCUUUUUCUUUCUUUUGAUUUUGAUUUUGCUUUUGCUUUUGAUUUUGAUUUUUCACCCUCCUCUUUUUUUUUUUGAUUACAUUUGUAAUGCCCCAAUUGGAUUGUUUUGCUGAUUCUCGAGAUGCAGCUAAGUGAUCUUCUUUUCUUGCUCAAGAAGUCGGGAAAUCUCGUCAGGAAUCCUUUCAACAUCAUCUUCCUCUGCUUCGAAUACAGGGAAUU
rnacentral:lncRNA from 1 species